UACGGGGGGGGCAAGCGUUGUUCGGAAUUACUGGGCGUAAAGGGCUCGUAGGCGGCCAACUAAGUCGGAUGUGAAAUCCCCAGGCUCAACUUGGGAACUGCAUCCGAUACUGGAUGGCUUGAAUUCGGGAGAGGGAUGCAGAAUUCCAGGUGUAGCGGUGAAAUGCGUAGAUAUCUGGAGGAACACCGGUGGCGAAGGCGGCAUCCUGGACCGACAUUGACGCUGAGGAGCGAAAGCUAGGGGAGCAAACGGG
rnacentral:rRNA from 1 species